UUGGACAACCUCCAAAUCAUAACACACUCACACAGCCACACUACACACAAUAAUAUACUAAUAUGUAAUGCAGGCCUAAAAACUUCCAACGAAAAAAACUCAAACUACUCCACAAUAAUCUACUUUUUAAUAAAGCUGGACCCAAACACUUUACUGGUUAUCUCUAACAUUUGCAUAGUCAAAUUGCCAAGAAUAAAAUAUAGAUGCAUACACUGCUAUUGCAAAUAGCCCAGCAAUUACAAUGCACACUAUUGGUAACGCUGAUUCUUUUGACCAUUUCUUGUCAAAUCUAAAGGUGACAGCAGCAAACAGCAUAAAAAAUAUCGGUAAAAAUUCCACUAAGAAUGUAAAUAGUGGCUUUGGUUUUGGUUCUUUAACAUCACUAAUUGCACAUCCUUCAGGUGAAUAUUUUUGUUUCAACAUUGGAUCUAUGGCAUAUUUUAGCAUAAUAAAUUCAAUUAUUGAACCAAUAAACUGUGCAAUAACAUAAAUUAGUGCACGUGUCAAGGUUAUAACACCCUUUAGUGCUGCGAUAUAUGUGACAACGGAACUCAUGUAACCGUCAGAAAAUGAAAUUAUGACUACUAAAAAAAAUAUGAUAUAAUAAAUAUUACAACGGGUACUAACAAUAUUGAAUCCUUUCCGUUGGAGUCCAAACAUGAAAUGAUUGAAACUGUUGAUAAUAACGCAAGUUGCAACCAAUUCAGUCAUUGCCGCCUUCUAUGUUUGAAACAAGAAGAAGAAAAUGAAAUAAAACAUCGUCCUUUGCAUGAAGAUACUUCAUAUUCAUAUAUAAUUUCGAUAUUUAAUAUAAAGUGAUUAGUCAUGUGAAGAUAUUUUUGUGUAAAAAUAAUUAAAUAGUUUAACAUGUUUGAACGAAAACUUGAUUACCCAGUGAACCGGUUGGUUUAUUUUUAAUCCGGACCGAGUUAUGCUUAAAACUUUUUCUAUUUAAAAAACUGGAAACCGGCGUCGUUUUGAAGGAGGCAUCCCUAAUGCCCUAACCCUGGAGCCCUCAACGUGUCUCUUUCUCUUCACUCUCUCACGGCUGGUGUUGUCGCACUCAGGCGCCGUCGUCUCCGGUCUCACUCACUCACUCACUGUCUCGCACUCAAGCUAGUCAGUCGCCGGCGGCAGCUGGUGGUCGUUGUCGUCUUCUUGCUUCGGCCGUCAGUUGGUCCCUGGGCAGCUUACAACAUGAAACAAUUUGGUGGACCUCAUAAAAAGCUUAAAGCUUGGCAUGUUACAUUUUGCCUUUGGAACCUUAAUUUGAGCAUCUUAUGGGUUGUGGUUUCUUUUUCUUUUCAUAUUCUUUAUAUAUAUAGUCACCAAAAAAUAUUCUUUAUAUAUAUCACAUUCAUAUGGUUCUUAGAUCAAGUAGAGUGACCCUAUAUAUAUCUCCCACUAUAUAAUUUUGUUUCCAAUUUUACCACCAUAAUUAUUCUAUAUAUAAAACUAGGACAUCAUAUAUGUGGUAAAAAAUUGACAGUUGAAGCACAAUAAUUUGAUCAAUUGUACAAUAAUGGGAGCAGCGAAUUGAUAACAAUAGUGAGAAUAAUAAUAAUGCAUGCAACUAUUGAAUUGUGUCUCUACAUUUGAUCAGUCACGAACAUGUACAUUUGAUGUUUUAUACCCACCAAAAAUAGACAACAUAACAGAAUAUGAUGGCAUGUGAAAUAGCCCAAGGUCGUAUUCAAUAUUUAGGUCUUCAAUAAUGCAAAGAGAAUCAAUAUUCACCAGUAAAUAAUAUAUGGAGAGAGAGCGCAUUAAUUAUUUUUCAGUUGACACUAAUUAAAUCACAAGAUUCAAUUUCAAAAAUUAUAUUGAGUAUGUCAAUUGACCAUUAUAAUAUUAUGGUAGUAUUUAAUUAUCAUUAUACUAAAAGUUGCGAGACAAAUUCACUUAAAUACUAACAUGGAUCGCAUUAUUUUAAAGUAGAGAUCUUAGUGAAUCAUUUUUAAAUCAAAUUAACUUGUCCAUCAGUUUUAAAACCAAAAAGAAAAAUUACAUCUAACUAUUAUCACGUGCUUUAAUUUGAGCUUAUGUUUAAUAAAUGUCGUAGCAGGAGUCUUUAGAUACUUAACAAAUUAAUUUAAGACUAUAAAUAGCAUAAACAAAUUUAGAUUCUUUGGAAAGUGAUCACCACUUCUAUAGAAUGAUUUGCUAGAAAUUAGCAAAGGUAAAAUGUCAUCGCAAGCAAAUUCAACGUUUUCAAAAGCCACUCGGUCUUAAUCAUAUGGCAAGCAAUGUUUUUGAUAAAAAAAUUUACGUUGCCAAAAUAGUGUUUACACUUUACAUUAUUUAAAAAGAAAAUAGCUAAAGUGUAUAAACAUAAAACUUAAGAGAUAAAAAAUAGUUAAAAUUAUGAAAUCAAAUUCAAGAUAAAUAACGUAUUUGUAUUUUAAGUUAAUCAAAAAUUUAUUUAUCUAUCAAUAAAAAAGUUAAAAAUUUAUUUAUCUUUUUUAUUUGUUUUUAUAUAACCCAAAUAACUAUAAGAUUAUUCACGGUAUUUAUGUAGUUUAUAAAGUUAAUUUAAAGAUAAUUUUUUAGGGAAAAAAGUUGGUUUACUUAGAAGAUCAGCCAAAAAGAUUGAUUUUAAUUCAAAUAAAGUAAAUUAAUUCAAUUUUAUUUCCUACACUUCACAAUAAUUUUAAAUAUUAUUUCAGUUAAAUAUGCAUGAGACAUUUUUGUUGUUACCCCUAGCAAAUACUAAAUUUAUAAUUAACAUAAUAACAUACAUCUAAAAUUACAAUAAAUAGAUAUUUUUGUUUUUAAUUUCUAAAUUAAAUUUUUUUAAUUUUAAAAUUGAUAAAGAAAAUAUAAAAUAAUAAACUUAAAAUAUAACAAAAAAAAAUAUUUAAUUUUAUGAUAUCACUUAUUCUAUUGUGCAACACAUUUUGACAAUCACAUAGAAAAUUAAAAGAUUUAUGUGAAACUGCAGUAAGAAGUCUGAAAUUUAUGUGAAAGAUUCUCUCUCCAUUACAUGCAAUGCAACUACAUAACAUACCCUUUCUCCCUCCCUCUUCUAUUAAAAACCUUCUCCUCAACUUCACACACACUACUUGAAUUGAAUUGAAGCUCUUUUAAACACACAAUGGAGCCCCUUUUCUCCACCAAACACAACAACAAUCCUUCUAAAAAGUAUACCUUCGUUCUCUAAAUUAUUGCAGUUCAAGGUCCAUGCCGGGCACUCCUCGCUGACCUGGAGACCAACAGAAAACGCGGACGUCCAACGCUGGCUUCUCGUUCUUCAUGGUGUGUGUGAAGUUGAGGGGAAGGUGUGUAAUAGAAGAGGGAGGGAGAAAGGGUAUGUUAUGUAGUUGCAUUGCAUGUAAUGGAGAGAGAAUCUUUCACAUAAAUUUCAGACUUCUUACUGCAGUUUCACAUAAAUCUUUUAGUUUUCUAUGUGAUUGUCAAAAGAUAAUUUAAUAGUAUAAAUUUAAAUCAUGCUGUAAGCCAUUAUGAUAGAUCAGAAUCCAAAUUUAAACUAUUAUAUUACCUUAAUGCAUGAUAAUGACUUAAAAUGUAUAUCUCCAAAAACCAAGUUUCUAGUCAAAUAGAAUGUUAAAUUCUUCUACAAACAAAAUUAUUCAAAGCUUUAAAUUUGUGCAAUAUAUGCAGAGAGAUUUAGAAACUGCCAUAAGAAAUCUGAAAUUUAUGUGAAAGAUUCUCUCUCCAUUACAUGCAUGCAACUACAUAACAUACCCUUUCUUUAUGUGAAAGAAUCCCUCAACUGGACACACACUAGUUGAAUUGAAGCUCUUUCAAACACACAAUGGAGUACCUUUCCAGUUUCCUCCACCGAAUACAACUACAAUCUUUCUAUCUAAUUCUCUCCACUUAGAGAACCAGUCUCCACUACCACCAAAGCCACGUCCUCUAUCGCCGCCGGUGUUCAGUUCGGAUGGGUUUACAGCUCAUCUUGCUGACACGCUACGUCCAGCUGCUUAUAGUAUCCCACACACUUGGACCGCUCCAAUAAGUGGGAUGCUCGUCCAGCAUAUCGUAGAGUACCAUAGUGACCGCUGCACG